AAUGAACGCUGGCGGCAUGCCUUACACAUGCAAGUCGAACGGCAGCAUGACCUAGCUUGCUAGGUUGAUGGCGAGUGGCGCACGGGUGAGUAAUGCAUCGGAACGUGCCUUUUAGUGGGGGAUAACGUAGCGAAAGUUACGCUAAUACCGCAUAUUCUCUGAGGAGGAAAGCAGGGGACCUUCGGGCCUUGCGCUAGAAGAGCGGCCGAUGUCGGAUUAGCUAGUUGGUGAGGUAAGGGCUCACCAAGGCAACGAUCCGUAGCGGGUCUGAGAGGAUGAUCCGCCACACUGGGACUGAGACACGGCCCAGACUCCUACGGGAGGCAGCAGUGGGGAAUUUUGGACAAUGGGCGCAAGCCUGAUCCAGCCAUGCCGCGUGAGUGAAGAAGGCCUUCGGGUUGUAAAGCUCUUUCGGCUGGGAAGAAAUCGCACCCUCUAAUACAGGGUGUGGAUGACGGUACCAGCAUAAGAAGCACCGGCUAACUACGUG
rnacentral:rRNA from 1 species